AUUGAACGCUGGCGGCAGGCCUAACACAUGCAAGUCGAGCGGAUGAAGGGAGCUUGCUCCUGGAUUCAGCGGCGGACGGGUGAGUAAUGCCUAGGAAUCUGCCUGGUAGUGGGGGAUAAUGUCCGGAAACGGGCGCUAAUACCGCAUACGUCCUAAGGGAGAAAGUGGGGGAUCUUCGGACCUCACGCUAUCAGAUGAGCCUAGGUCGGAUUAGCUAGUUGGUGGGGUAAAGGCCUACCAAGGCGACGAUCCGUAACUGGUCUGAGAGGAUGAUCAGUCACACUGGAACUGAGACACGGUCCAGACUCCUACGGGAGGCAGCAGUGGGGAAUAUUGGACAAUGGGCGAAAGCCUGAUCCAGCCAUGCCGCGUGUGUGAAGAAGGUCUUCGGAUUGUAAAGCACUUUAAGUUGGGAGGAAGGGCAGUAAGUUAAUACCUUGCUGUUUUGACGUUACCAACAGAAUAAGCACCGGCUAACUUCGUG
rnacentral:rRNA from 1 species